rnacentral:rRNA from 1 species
UACGUAGGGACCAAGCGUUGUUCGGAUUUACUGGGCGUAAAGGGCGCGUAGGCGGCGUGGUAAGUCACUUGUGAAAUCUCUGAGCUUAACUCAGAACGGCCAAGUGAUACUGCUGUGCUAGAGUGCAGAAGGGGCAAUCGGAAUUCUUGGUGUAGCGGUGAAAUGCGUAGAUAUCAAGAGGAACACCUGAGGUGAAGACGGCGCUCUGGGCCGGAACUGACGCUGAGGAGCGAAAGCGUGGGGAGCAAACAGG